GAUGAACGCUGGCGGCGUGCCUAAUACAUGCAAGUCGAGCGAACAGACGAGGAGCUUGCUCCUCUGACGUUAGCGGCGGACGGGUGAGUAACACGUGGAUAACCUACCUAUAAGACUGGGAUAACUUCGGGAAACCGGAGCUAAUACCGGAUAAUAUAUUGAACCGCAUGGUUCAAUAGUGAAAGACGGUUUUGCUGUCACUUAUAGAUGGAUCCGCGCCGCAUUAGCUAGUUGGUAAGGUAACGGCUUACCAAGGCAACGAUGCGUAGCCGACCUGAGAGGGGGAUCGGCCACACUGGAACUGAGACACGGUCCAGACUCCUACGGGAGGCAGCAGUAGGGAAUCUUCCGCAAUGGGCGAAAGCCUGACGGAGCAACGCCGCGUGAGUGAUGAAGGUCUUCGGAUCGUAAAACUCUGUUAUUAGGGAAGAACAAAUGUGUAAGUAACUAUGCACGUCUUGACGGACCUAAUCAGAAAGCCACGGCUAACUACGUG
rnacentral:rRNA from 1 species